rnacentral:lncRNA from 1 species
UAUGCCUAGGCUGGUUAUGUAUUACCCAGACAGGAUGUGACAUCACCGGGGUCCAAACUAAAAAAUGUCGCAGGACAGGCUGUCUAGGAUGUCCAGAACCCUGGAGGUUGCUGCCUCGCAGUGGGGUCCAGACGUGUGAUGUUCGCUGGAGGAUGCAGGAGAUAACCACGCAGAAUGUCUCUUUUCUCUACCUCCUGGUUUGAGUAUGACCCCUCCCCUGGCUUGUGACCCUUCACCUGGAUAACACUCCUGGCAGUUGGCUCUGGGACAGACUACUCAUGUUGAACCAUAGGUGCUGCACCAGAGCUGUGAUGAUGCUCCCCGAGGCCUCCUCUCUCACCCCAUGUUCUGACUCCCUGGGAUGUGUGGAGCUGUGAGGUCCACUGUCACCGCCCGUCACCACCCAUGGCCCUGGAAGAGAAGAGGUGACGGAGCAGUUUGUCUGUUGACCUUUCCCCUCUCAGUCAGAUCGGUCCUCAUCUCUGUUCCAUCCCCUUUGGCAACACCUGUCUCUCUGUGGCCUUCAUGUAUUUGCUCAUGGUCGUGCCUCAGUGUGUACAUGGUGUGUUACCUAUGUUUUCCUGGACAUUUAAGGUUCAAGUGGAAUCUUUGUUGGCUAUCCAAUAGCAUUCUGUUAUUUCGUAUUAUGGAAUUAUAAAGGGGGGGGGUUAAUCCAUGUGGAUCAUGGGUCAUAAAAGUUCACAUUAUACUAAUUUCCCCUGAUUAGAGUCUUGGUGGUCAUACAAUUAAUUUGAUUUUAUGGAAAUAAUUAAAUGAAGGAUCCAAGUGUGAAGUAGGCUACAGUAUUUGGAUAACUGAUUUGUGUGGGUGAAAUGGAGAUCACUGUUUUCACUGUGAAAUUAUAUGAGUUAGGGACAAAUGUUUUUGUAUUUUAUCAUUUUAUACAUAUUAACAUAUUACUGCCUUGCAGGGAAACUGAAAACUGCACUGGUGAUCAUUUUACCAAAGUCAGGCAUGAUUCUUAUGUUUUGGAUUUCUAGACUCGAUACAUAAGCAAAGUCUGCUGAAUUAUUUGACUUAGGCUACAGUGUGUCAGACAUAGGUUUAAAGUUCUUAAAAUGAUUGUUGUCAUAGAAGACGCCAGUAUUGCAUGUUGAAAGAACGAUAAAGAAUGUCUGAU